rnacentral:tRNA from 1 species
GCCGACGUCGCAUAACCCGGUAGUGCGUCGGAUUCGAAACCCGAUUCCGCAAGGAAUUGCAGGUUCAAAUCCUGCCGUCGGCG